UUCUUGGAGAGUUUGAUCCUGGCUCAGGACGAACGCUGGCGGCGUGCCUAAUACAUGCAAGUCGAGCGAAUCUUGAGGUGCUUGCACCUCUUGGUUAGCGGCGGACGGGUGAGUAACACGUGGGCAACCUGCCUGUAAGACUGGGAUAACACCGGGAAACCGGUGCUAAUACCGGAUAAUCCUUUUCCUCUCAUGAGGAAAAGCUGAAAGUCGGUUUACGCUGACACUUACAGAUGGGCCCGCGGCGCAUUAGCUAGUUGGUGAGGUAACGGCUCACCAAGGCGACGAUGCGUAGCCGACCUGAGAGGGUGAUCGGC
rnacentral:rRNA from 1 species